CCACGGGUGAGUAACACGUAUCCAACCUGCCGUCUACUCUUGGCCAGCCUUCUGAAAGGAAGAUUAAUCCAGGAUGGCAUCAUGAGUUCACAUGUCCGCAUGAUUAAAGGUAUUCCGGUAGACGAUGGGGAUGCGUUCCAUUAGAUAGUAGGCGGGGUAACGGCCCACCUAGUCUUCGAUGGAUAGGGGUUCUGAGAGGAAGGUCCCCCACAUUGGAACUGAGACACGGUCCAA
rnacentral:rRNA from 1 species